rnacentral:rRNA from 1 species
GACGUAGGGCGCGAGCGUUGUCCGGAUUUAUUGGGCGUAAAGAGCUCGUAGGCGGCUCGUUGCGUCGGCUGUGAAAACCCGCAGCUCAACUGUGGGCUUGCAGCUGAUACGGGCGGGCUUGGAUUCGGUAGGGGAGACUGGAAUUCCUGGUGUAGCGGUGAAAUGCGCAGAUAUCAGGAGGAACACCGGUGGCGAAGGCGGGUCUCUGGGACGGUACUGACGCUGAGACGCGAAAGCGUGGGGAGCGAACAGG